rnacentral:rRNA from 1 species
UACGUAGGGGGCAAGCGUUGUCCGGAAUCAUUGGGCGUAAAGCGCGUGUAGGCGGCUUGGUAAGUCCGCUCUGAAAGCCCGGGGCUCAACCCCGGGAGGCGGGUGGAUACUGUCAAGCUCGAGUCCGGAAGAGGCGAGUGGAAUUCCCGGUGUAGCGGUGAAAUGCGCAGAUAUCGGGAGGAACACCAAUGGCGAAGGCAGCUCGCUGGGACGUGACUGACGCUGAGACGCGAAAGCGUGGGGAGCAAACAGGG